GUGAAGGGUACUCAGUAAGUAGGACACUUUGAUUUGGAACAUGGUCAAAUGUGUCACAUGACAGAUAUGGUGGUGCAGGAUGAGGUUGAGAUUGCCCUUGACAAGUUGGUUGUUAGAGUUGAGUGCAAUGUGCUUGGUC
rnacentral:ribozyme from 1 species